CGUGGAUAACCUGCCUCAUACAGGGGGAUAACAGUUAGAAAUGACUGCUAAUACCGCAUAAGCGCACAGAGAUGCAUGUCUCGGUGUGAAAAGCUGAGGCGGUAUGAGAUGGAUCCGCGUCUGAUUAGCUGGUUGGCGGGGUAGAGGCCCACCAAGGCGACGAUCAGUAGCCGACCUGAGAGGGUGGCCGGCCACAUUGGGACUGAGACACGGCCCAAACUCCUACGGAAGGCAGCAG
rnacentral:rRNA from 1 species